AACGAACGCUGGCGGCAGGCCUAACACAUGCAAGUCGAGCGAAGCCUUCGGGCUUAGCGGCGGACGGGUGAGUAACGCGUGGGAACGUGCCCUUUGCUACGGAAUAGCCCCGGGAAACUGGGAGUAAUACCGUAUGUGCCCUUCGGGGGAAAGAUUUAUCGGCAAAGGAUCGGCCCGCGUUGGAUUAGGUAGUUGGUGGGGUAAUGGCCUGCCAAGCCGACGAUCCAUAGCUGGUUUGAGAGGAUGAUCAGCCACACUGGGACUGAGACACGGCCCAGACUCCUACGGGAGGCAGCAGUGAGGAAUAUUGGACAAUGGGCGCAAGCCUGAUCCAGCCAUGCCGCGUGAUUGAAGAAGGCCUUAGGGUUGUAAAGAUCUUUCAGAUGGGAAGAUAAUGACGGUACCAUCAGAAGAAGCCCCGGCUAACUCCGUGCCAGCAGCCGCAGUAACAC
rnacentral:rRNA from 1 species